CCGGCGCACGGGUGCGUAACGCGUAUGUAACCUACCUUUUACUGGGGGAUAGCCCGGAGAAAUUCGGAUUAACACUGCAUAAUAAGUUUGAGUGGCAUCACUUGGAUUUUAAAUAUUUAUAGGUAAGAGAUGGGCAUGCGUCCAAUUAGCUAGUUGGUGAGGUAACGGCUCACCAAGGCGAUGAUUGGUAGGGGUUCUGAGAGGAAGGUCCCCCACACUGGUACUGAGAUACGGACCAG
rnacentral:rRNA from 1 species